UACAGAGGUCUCAAGCGUUGUUCGGAUUCAUUGGGCGUAAAGGGUGUGUAGGUGGCGCGCUAAGUCGGGUGUGAAAUUUCGGAGCUUAACUCCGAAACUGCAUUCGAUACUGGCGUGCUUGAGGACUGGAGAGGAGACUGGAAAUUCAUGGUGUAGCAGUGAAAUGCGUAGAGAUCAUGAGGAAGACCAGUGGCGAAGGCGGGUCUCUGGACAGUUCCUGACACUGGAGACACGAAGGCCAGGGGAGCAAACGGG
rnacentral:rRNA from 1 species